CCGACGCAGAGUCGCUGUAAUAAAUGCUCGGGAAGUUAUAGAGAGAAAGGAUACGAUCCCAGUGAUUAAUGCCAAAGCCCUGUUGCCUGUGGAGAGGGUGAUGCUUGACUUUCUUGUACAGCUGCAGUUUGUGUGGUGAAGGUGCUCCCACAAUGUGGUUGGGAUACUACAGGUGGACAUUCAGAUGGUAAUCUCAGUCAUUGUAACACCAAACUCUGAUUGAAUUAGUCAAUUCAUCAGGACCUGGAUAUUCGCAUUGUGUGUGCAGAGAUGGCCAUUCGUACAGUGAUGUGCUCUUCCUGUUGGAUGUGGGAGAUUAAGG